ACAUCACAUCCUGUUACUCAUAUGCAAUUGAUGUCCAGACAGGGAAACUGGCCCACCUAGGACAGUGUAGGCAGGCCCCAACCUCCAUACUCAGCAGUAGAAGGAGGCAGAGCAGCCGGUCCCAUGGGGCCUCCUCUUUCAAACACCCACAGACUCAAAGGUAGAAGUGUUUUUCUCCCUUCGGGAGCCUGGCCAGGCAGGGAGUGUGGCUACAGUCUCUAUCAGAACUUGCCUCCCCACACAUAGUCCCCCAAGAUAUUUGUGCACCUCCUGCCUCUGGGCUGCAAGCCCUAGGCUGGCUCUGAACCAGUUUUUAGGCCUCCCUAGUGUUCCCUGAGGUCCCACCUUUGCCAGGGCUCUCCCUGGGCCAUGCCUACUACAGAAUCUGAUUUUUCUUACUUCAUUUCAGGGCUCUCUCCAGGAGAGGAUGAGGUGUGUCAUUUCUUUAUUCAAAAAGCUUCCAGCUAAUGGGGGUAAGAAGAGAAUGGCCUGGAGCAGGCCCAAUGCUGCUUUGGGGGAGUCAGCAUCCUGUGUGAGAUACUGUGUAUAUAAACUAUAUAUAUAAUGUAUAUAAACAGGGAUGUAAGUUUGUAUAAAUUAAUGGUUUAUUCUUUGCAAAUAAAGUGCUCCCUUCUCCA
rnacentral:lncRNA from 1 species